AGAAGUCCCUCACCAAGAUGAGAACCAUAAGAUGGAAGAGGCAUGGAUCUGAGAGUCACCAUUUAGGAACACCGGACCCACAGCCAACUGUAUAAUCUCCUAUGAAAGAACAAAAAAUGUAUCACCCCCACACCUCAAAAGAGUGACGGGCCCUAAUCCUUAGGUCUACAUUCCAGGUUGCAGAGUCAAAAGAGCUUGCACUGUUGCUUCCUCCACCCACCUCUUCAACAGCCAGGAGCAGAAGAAUUCCCUAAUGAUAACUCCUAAAGAGACACUUAAAGUUCAAAGCUCUAGCACAUGAUGAAAGUAAGUUGAAUGACCUAAAGAGGAGAAAUAUGGAGAUGGUGCACCCUGACGAUUAGGAAGGGAAGCUCCAAGGCUUCUGAAAGAGUGAAUCUCCCGAACUUAAAUAAGAUAAUGAUGCUAAAUGCCCUACACAAAAUGGAAUCUCUCUGAGACAAGCCGGUCCUCAAAAAGCCUGGCAACAUGGGCACUUAUAAGGACUUGGUGUUAAGCACAGAGCCUCGGUAACCUCAGCAAAGACACUUCGUGGCAGAGAUGGAAAAGUGGAGCCAUCUUGUCUUGAUGGAUCAUGAAACCAUGGUGGGGAGCCAGGGCCACAGGAAUUAUUGUGCACUAAUGACCCAUGCCUUGCCAGACAUAAAAGACUCAGA
rnacentral:lncRNA from 1 species